rnacentral:rRNA from 1 species
AUUGAACCCUGGCGGAAUGCUUUACACAUGCAAGUCGAACGGUAGAGGGGGCAACCCCUCGAGAGUGGCGAACGGGUGAGUAAUAUAUCGGAACGUGCCCAGUCGUGGGGGGUAACGUAGCGAAAGUUACGCUAAUACCGCAUACGAUCUAAGGAUGCAAGCGGGGGAUCGCAAGAACUCGCGCGAUUGGCGCGGCCGAUAUCAGGUUAGGUAGUUGGUGGGGUAAAGGCUCACCAAGCCAACGAUCUGUAGCUGGUCUGAGAGGACGACCAGCCACACUGGAACUGAGACACGGUCCAGACUCCUACGGGAGGCAGCAGUGGGGAAUUUUGGACAAUGGACGCAAGUCUGAUCCAGCCAUUCCGCGUGCAGGAUGAAGGCCCUCGGGUUGUAAACUGCUUUUGUACGGAACGAAAAGGUCUCUCUUAAUACGGGGGGCUCAUGACGGUACCGUAAGAAUAAGCACCGGCUAACUACGUGCCAGCCGCCGCAGUAA